UAAAAGAUAAGCUAAUAAUAAGCUAAUGGGCUCAUACCCCGUAAAUGAGGAUACACCUCUCUUUUUA
rnacentral:tRNA from 2 species